rnacentral:rRNA from 1 species
ACGCACGCUGGCGGCGUGCUUAACACAUGCCAGUCGCACGGAAAGGCCCUGCUUUUGUGGGGUGCUCGAGUGGCGAACGGGUGAGUAACACGUGAGUAACCUGCCCUUGACUUUGGGAUAACUUCAGGAAACUGGGGCUAAUACCGGAUAGGAGCUCCUGCUGCAUGGUUGGGGUUGGAAAGUUUCGGCGGUUGGGGAUGGACUCGCGGCUUAUCAGCUUGUUGGUGGGGUAGUGGCUUACCAAGGCUUUGACGGGUAGCCGGCCUGAGAGGGUGACCGGCCACAUUGGGACUGAGAUACGGCCCAGACUCCUACGGGAGGCAGCAGUGGGGAAUAUUGCACAAUGGGCGGAAGCCUGAUGCAGCAACGCCGCGUGCGGGAUGACGGCCUUCGGGUUGUAAACCGCUUUCGCCUGUGACGAAGCGUGAGUGACGGUAAUGGGUAAAGAAGCACCGGCUAACUACGUG